GACGAACGCUGGCGGCGUGCUUAACACAUGCAAGUCGAACGGUGAAGCUCCAGCUUGCUGGAGUGGAUCAGUGGCGAACGGGUGAGUAACACGUGAGCAACCUGCCCCUGACUCUGGGAUAAGCGCUGGAAACGGCGUCUAAUACUGGAUACGAGAAGGGUCCGCAUGGGCACUUUCUGGAAAGUUUUUCGGUUGGGGAUGGGCUCGCGGCCUAUCAGCUUGUUGGUGAGGUAGUGGCUCACCAAGGCGACGACGGGUAGCCGGCCUGAGAGGGCGACCGGCCACACUGGGACUGAGAGACGGCCCAGACUCCUACGGGAGGCAGCAGUGGGGAAUAUUGCACAAUGGGCGAAAGCCUGAUGCAGCGACGCCGCGUGAGGGAUGACGGCCUUCGGGUUGUAAACCUCUUUCAGCAGGGAAGAAGCGAAAGUGACGGUACCUGCAGAAGAAGCACCGGCUAACUACGUG
rnacentral:rRNA from 1 species